UGCAGUGUCUGGUGAGGGACCCACUUCUUUGUUCAUAGACGGCUGUCUUCUCACUGUGUCCUCACAGGACAGAAGGGACAAGGCACCUCUGUGGGGUCUUUCUGCGCCCCACGGCUUAUGGGAUCUCAGUUCCCCGACCAGGGAUUGAACCCUGGCCAUGGCAGUGAAAGCCCGGAAUCCUUACCACUAGGCCACCAGGGAACUCCCCUGAUGACGUUUCUUUGACCUUGACCUACUUGAGGCUUACCAGGGCACUUGGAAAGGGCAAGAGUGGAAACACGACAUGCAUCAUUGAACAUCUAGUGUGUCCUCAGCACCAUGCCAGGUACUAUCCUUCUGUACGUCUAGAAGCAGCCACAGCUGGGUGGGAAAAAACAACCACAACAAAAAACGAAAAACUUGUGCAUUCCCAGAACAAGGUGACUCCCUUCUGAGACCAGAUGUGGCAUGCUUGGAGAAACAAGAUACAGGAUUUUCUCUGGGUGGAGCACAGAUCCAAGAUGUGAUGGGAUAUUUGCUCAGAAUCUCCAGCCCCGGCCUACUUCUUGUGAUUCACGUGCAGAUAAAUGGUGCAAUAAAAAGAAAUCUGGAAUACGUCUCUGGAAGUUUUAAAGUUCUCAGAAGGACUUGGAAGGUUUUGAGUAUACAGGCGGUAUUCCAUUUUUUCAUCCAGCUGAUAGCUGUGACUUUGGAAGAAAAAGGAGAGGAUACUGGGAGUGAACAGCUGGCGAUGUUGAUGGUGUUGACGAGGGUUUCAUUUCCUGGGCAAGAACCCAAGAUACUGGAAUAGGAGGCUCCUGGCAAAGGACAGAGAGUGUCACAAAGACAGGGAAGAACGUGUUUGGCAGGAAAUUUCCAAAUGGUAUCAAAGGGCAUUUAAAAAGAUGGUCAUGGGAUGUGGAGGGGACAGCUGCUGUUUUCGUCUGCUCAGCAGCCGUUUGCAAUCUUCUCUGAACAGCUUCUUUAUCUUUGAAGGGAAACCAUCCAUCCUCAACUCACAGUUCAUGUGGCUAAAGAGGGUUGAUCCCAACCUUUGGCUCCAGAAAAAGUCAAUCACAAUCUCAAAGGCUGUUUCAGAACUUGGCUACGUGACCGGAUCUGGAUCAGUGAGAGUGGUCGCCAGGGCUUUGCUCAAAUGAUUGGUAAUGGGGUAUGCUUUCUUUCUCGCUUAGAGAUGGUACAUUAUAAGCCUGGAGCUGCUGAAUGCUACCUUGUCUAAAUGAAUCUGAGAAGGAAGUCAACAUAGCGGAAAGCCGAAUCUAAUGAUGGAGAGAAAUUCCUGAAGACAUUAGAGUUCCUGGACUUAACCAUGUUUGCGGCUAGCCCUACCCCUUGGACUUCUCAGUUAUGUGAACCAAUAUUCUCUCCCCCAGCCCCCCAGCCCUGCCUCCUGGUUUAGUGUAGUUUCUGUGGACUUGCUACCACUGAUAGGAGAAAAUGGAAAAUAACAUUUGUGAUAUAGACAGAAACACAGUAAUAGAGACAGUACCAUUAUUCUUGAGCAAAAAUAAAGACAGCUGGGCCAGAACUUUAUUUAUGGUCCUGUAUGUCUAUCUCCUAAUGCAAAGAGUACAGGGAAUGGAUAAGGCAAGAUUUUCAUGGUACCCAAAGAAGAGAAAUAUAAUUUCAUAAACAUCACUUUUGCUUGGAGGGGAUUCCUAAAUAGAAAGUAACAAUGGAAGGAUAUAUAUUGCUCAAAAAAGGCAAAUCUAAUAGAAAGGGAAAAUUAUGUAGUGUCAUCGGCAAAGAAGGUCUGUCCGUCAGGGAGGAGAGCUUUUGGGUCAGGAUGAGGAGAACCACAGAACAAGGCCCUACUUCACCUCCCCCUACCCAGACCAGAGGAAAAUUCCAGAACGUGCUUGCCUAACACAUAUCACAUAGGCCACAAAACAGGGUUUUCAUGGGGAAUUCCACUUAUUCAGACGUAAACUGGAAUUCUCCUUUUGCUAAAGUUUAGACCAUCUGAUAACUUAUUAGCUUUAUUGCUAAUAUUUGAUAUAAUUAUUUGCUAACAGUUUCUCAGAACACAGGAGUAGUAAUAGAAGAUGUUCUUUUAUUUAAAAAAAAAACUUUCCCACUUGAAUAUAAAAGGAAGACGUCCCUUUUAUGAAAAAUUGGAUAAUAUGGUGGUCCAACAGCAAGCACUUAUAAAUCGAUUUUCAGGUGUUAAGUGAUGGGACUCGUAUUUCAUAAAUAGGCUCAUUUAAUCUCUGCAACAAUUUUGUUUUUUCUUUUCUUUUUUUU